AUGCAUGUCUAAGCAUAAGCCGAUAAAUGGUGAAGCCGCGAAUAGCUCAUUACAACAGCCAUAGUUUAUUGGAUCUUCUCUCUACUUGGAUACCUGUGGUAAUUCUAGAGCUAAUACACGCACGAAAGCCUCGACUUCGGAAGGGGCGCAUUUAUUAGAACAAAACCAAUCGGGCUUGCCCGUCUUUUGGUGAAUCUGAAUAACUCAGUUGAUCGCACAGUCCUCGAACUGGCGACGUAUCUUUCAAGUGUCUGCCUUAUCAACUUUCGAUGGUAGUUUACAUGACUACCAUGGUUGUAACGGGUAACGGAGAAUAAGGGUUCGACUCCGGAGAGGGAGCCUGAGAAACGGCUACCACAUCCAAGGAAGGCAGCAGGCGCGCAAAUUACCCACUCUCAGUACGAGGAGGUAGUGACGAAAAAUAACGAGACGGUUCUCUAUGAGGUCCGUCAUCGGAAUGGGUACAAUUUAAACCCUUUAACGAGGAUCUAUUGGAGGGCAAGUCUGGUGCCAGCAGCCGCGGUAAUUCCAGCUCCAAUAGCGUAUACUAAAGUUGUUGCGGUUAAAAAGCUCGUAGUUGGAUCUGCGGUCUCGCGUGCCGGUGAAUCCUCAGGAUUUUACUGGUUUCGCAGGCCUACCUCGCUGGUUUUCCCUUGGUCCUCUUUACUGAGUGCCUUGGGUGACCAGCAAGUUUACUUUGAAAAAAUUAGAGUGCUCAAAGCAGGCGCGUAGCCUGAAUAGUGGUGCAUGGAAUAAUGGAAUAGGACCUUGGUUCUAUUUUGUUGGUUUUCGGAACKCGAGGUAAUGAUUAAGAGGGACAGACGGGGGCAUUCGUAUUGCUGCGUUAGAGGUGAAAUUCUUGGAUCGCAGCAAGACGGACAACUGCGAAAGCAU
rnacentral:rRNA from 1 species